UUUUCUUCCUUAAGGUACAGUAUUUCUUGAGAUGAACAAAAUAUUUAUUCAAAUGUUUUAAGUGUGGUCUCCCAGGCAAACAACAGAUAUGAUGUCAAAUAUUUCCUCUAUUUAAACACGUAACAGAGUCAUUAUGGAGGGUUGCAUGCAUCCAACAAGAUACGGUUUGUCUGUAAGAUAUAUUUCCUUUUGCCUAUCACAAAUGGGAUCAUACAAAAAAGUACAAAAUGCAAAGUGUUCUUAUUGCAGCGAGUAUUUAGAAAGAUAAGAGUUUUUCAACAUACACAAUUGGGUUUAUCAAAGGAAUGAGUCUGCAGAAAUGAUGUAGAAUUGAGAUUGUAAAUUCUCCUAGGUGUCUUUAAAAGCUCCAGCGUAAAACUCUGUGGCUUUAUUCACAUAUUUACACCUGAAGUAGCUCUACAAAAAGUUACUCUCUUUUCACCCAAUGUGAAAAGGUAAUUUAAGCAUUCUUAUGUGAAAAGGUAAUUUAAGCAAUCUUACGUUGUGCUCAUAUGGACCAGGAACACGGAUGAAAUGUGUUACUGCAACAUGGCUAUAGGAUGGCAAUUUUGUAAGAAGUGAAUAUUUAAACUUUGAUAUCAAGCAAGUAUUGUGAGUUGCGCUAAAUUUUCUGCGAUUUUGAUUACUUGAGAGUCUGGGGGAAAGCAUGACAAAUGCUGUUGCUGGGGAUGCUGCAGUAGAUCUUUUAAAAUAGAAGUAGCUGAUGAUACCCUACUAAAUGAAUUUUCUCUCUCUCUGAAAUGAAUGUUGUGCUUUACGUAAUAAUAAUUAGUGACACUCCUUUAGGACUCCUUGAUUUUUCUGCUGAAAACAAAUCUCAGGAGCGGUCAUCAGUAUCUCUUGUAUUGCAGUUGUGCCUAGAGGCUGGGUACCUGCCUGGCGAUACACAAAGAGAUUGUGGCUUCUUGUAUGAAUACUGGAACAAUCAUAUGCACUUGGCUUUCAGUAUCUCCCUUCUGAACAGUUUCCAGUGCUUUUCAGAAUCCUUUUUGAAAUGCAGAUGCCAGGCCAACAUGUCCAGCAGGUUGCCAUUCUGCAACAGAAAAUAG
rnacentral:lncRNA from 1 species